rnacentral:rRNA from 1 species
AGAGUUUGAUCAUGGCUCAGAUUGAACGCUGGCGGCGUGCCUAACACAUGCAAGUCGAGCGGUAACAGGUGUAGCAAUACAUGCUGACGAGCGGCGGACGGGUGAGCAAUAUUUGGGAAUCUGCCUAUUAGUGGGGGACAACCCGGGGAAACUCGGGCUAAUACCGCAUACGCUCUACGGAGGAAAGCCGGGGACCGCAAGGCCUGGCGCUAGUAGAUGAGCCCAAAUCGGAUUAGCUAGUUGGUGAGGUAACGGCUCACCAAGGCGACGAUCCGUAGCUGGUCUGAGAGGACGACCAGCCACACCGGAACUGAGACACGGUCCGGACUCCUACGGGAGGCAGCAGUGGGGAAUAUUGGACAAUGGGCGAAAGCCUGAUCCAGCGACGCCGCGUGGGUGAAGAAGGCCUGCGGGUUGUAAAGCCCUUUCGGUGGGGACGAAAAGCCUCGACCUAACACGUCGGGGUCUUGACUUAACCCAAGAAAGAAGCACCGCUAACUCUGUGCCAGCAGCCGCGGUAAUACAGAGGGUGCGAGCGUUAAUCGGAAUUACUGGGCGUAAAGCGCACGUAGGUGGCUUGGCAAGUCGGAUGUGAAAUCCCCGGGCUUAACCUGGAACUGCAUUCGAGACUGCUUUGCUAGAGUAUGGGAGAGGGAAGUGGAAUUUCCGGUGUAGCGGUGAAAUGCGUAGAUAUCGGAAGGAACAUCAGUGGCGAAGGCGACUUCCUGGACCAAUACUGACACUCAAGUGCGAAAGCGUGGGGAGCAAACAGGAUUAGAUACCCUGGUAGUCCACGCCAUAAACGAUGAGAACUGGAUGUCGGGAGGGUCUGCCUCUCGGUGUCGUAGCUAACGCGUUAAGUUCUCCGCCUGGGGAGUACGGCCGCAAGGUUGAAACUCAAAUGAAUUGACGGGGACCCGCACAAGCGGUGGAGCAUGUGGUUUAAUUCGAUGCAACGCGAAGAACCUUACCUGGUCUUGACAUCCUAGGAAUCCCGCAGAGAUGUGGGAGUGCCUUCGGAAACCUGGAGACAGGUGCUGCAUGGCUGUCGUCAGCUCGUGUCGUGAGAUGUUGGGUUAAGUCCCGCAACGAGCGCAACCCUUGCCCUUAGUUGCCAGCAUUUAGUUGGGAACUCUAAGGGGACCGCCGGUGACAAACCGGAGGAAGGUGGGGAUGACGUCAAGUCAUCAUGGCCCUUAUGACCAGGGCUACACACGUGCUACAAUGGUCGGUACAGAGGGUUGCCAAAACCGCGAGGUGGAGCCAAUCCCAGAAAGCCGAUCGUAGUCCGGAUCGCAGUCUGCAACUCGACUGCGUGAAGUCGGAAUCGCUAGUAAUCGCGAAUCAGCGAUGUCU